CAGUAGCCACGGGAAUACAGAGGGUGCGAGCGUUAAUCGGAUUUACUGGGCGUAAAGCGUGCGUAGGCGGCUUUUUAAGUCGGAUGUGAAAUCCCUGAGCUUAACUUAGGAAUUGCAUUCGAUACUGGGAAGCUAGAGUAUGGGAGAGGAUGGUAGAAUUCCAGGUGUAGCGGUGAAAUGCGUAGAGAUCUGGAGGAAUACCGAUGGCGAAGGCAGCCAUCUGGCCUAACACUGACGCUGAGGUACGAAAGCAUGGGGAGCAAACAGGAUUAGAUACCCGUGUAGUCCCUGUCUCUUAUAC
rnacentral:rRNA from 1 species